AUGCGGAAUUCAGUGUGGGCUCCCUUUCUGGAGCACUGCUACCAUAUGGCCUCUAGAGAGCGUCCUAUGCUAGUCUCAGGGACCCAAGAAUUGAGAGGCUCUCCUGUAGUUAAGAUUGCAUAUAUGCCGGGCGCGGUGGCUGAAGCCUGUAAUUCCAGCACUUUGGGAGGCCGAGACGGGCGGAUCACGAGUUAUGGAGGCCAGAAGUCCAAGAUCAAGAUGCCAGUGAGGAAUACUUUUAAGAAGUGGCUUCUUAUUCCUCCUGCAAAUAGAACUGGGUAA
rnacentral:lncRNA from 1 species